rnacentral:rRNA from 1 species
GUGUCAGCAGCCGCGGUAAUACGGAGGGCGCAAGCGUUGUUCGGAAUCAUUGGGCGUAAAGCGCGUGUAGGCGGCCGAGCAAGUCGGAUGUGAAAGCCCGGGGCCCAACCCCGGAAUUGCACUCGAUACUGCCCGGCUAGAGUCCCGGAGAGGAGAGCGGAAUUCCCGGUGUAGAGGUGAAAUUCGUAGAUAUCGGGAGGAACACCAGUGGCGAAGGCGGCUCUCUGGACGGUGACUGACGCUGAGACGCGAAAGCGUGGGGAGCAAACAGGAUUAGAUACCCUGGUAGUCCACGCCGUAAACGUUGAGUGCUAGACGUCGGGGGUAUUGACCCCCUCGGUGUCGAAGCUAACGCAUUAAGCACUCCGCCUGGGGAGUACGGCCGCAAGGCUAAAACUUAAAUGAAUUGACGGGG